rnacentral:rRNA from 1 species
AAUACAGAGACCCCGAGCGUUGACCGGAUUUAUUGGGCGUAAAGCGUGCGCAGGUGGUUUUGUAAGUCAUUUGUUAAAUCUUCAGGCUCAACCUGGAGGCUGCAGGUGAUACUGCAAAACUAGAGGACGGGAGAGGCUAUUGGAAUGCCCGGUGUAGGAGUAAAAUCCGUUAAGAUCGGGUAGAACACCAAAUGCGAAGGCAAAUAGCUAGAACGAUCCUGACACUGAUGCACGAAAGCGUGGGUAGCGAAAGGGAUUAGAUACCCCUGUAGUCCACGCCGUAAACUAUGAGUGCUAGGUAUUGGAAGUAUCGACCCUUCCAGUGCCGUUGAAACAAGCUAACGCGUUAAGCACUCCGCCUGGGGAGUACGGCCGCAAGGCUAAAACUCAAAGGAAUAGACGGGGACCUGCACAAGCGGUGGAUCAUGCGGUUUAAUUCGAUACAACGCGAGAAACCUCACCCAGAUUUGACAUAUAGCUGCAAACUCUAAGAAAUUAGAGCGCCUUCGAGGGUGCUAUACAGGUGCUGCAUGGUUGUCGUCAGCUCGUGCCGUGAGGUGUACCCUUAAGUGGGGUAACGAGCGCAACCCCUGUCCUGCGUUAUACUUUCGCAGGAGACUGCCUACGCAAGUAGGAGGAAGGCGGGGAUGACGUCAAAUCAGCAUGGCCCUUACAUCUGGGGCAACACGCAUGAUACAAUGGCCGGUACAACGGGCAGCCAAGUCGCGAGACGGAGCAAAUCCCUUAAAACCGGUCCCAGUUCGGAUAGGAGUCUGAAAUUCGACUCCUUGAAGUCGGAAUCGCUAGUAAAGGCGGAUCAUCACGCCGCCUUGAAUACGUUCUCAGGUCUUGUACUCACCGCCCGUCAAGUCAAGAGAGUUGGGAGUACCCGAACGUCGCUGUAGAGCGGCGGAAGGUAAAUCCAGCGAUAGGGACUAAGUCGUAACAAGGCACGCGUAGCGGAAGCUGUGCGUGGAUCACCUCCUUUCUAGGGA